UAAAUUAAAGGCAAGCCCCGGUUUUAUGCAUAACCGUUUAUAUAUGCUAUUUUACUACACUUAAUGAUUGUAGGCUUGUACUGUGCACUUAAGUGUAGGAGUUGUCUGAAAACCCUAGUUGCAUGAACUCAGGAUUCCUUUUGAGAUGGAUACUAGUAUGCUAGGUCGAGUAGCUGCUUUACUAAUUAGGGAUCUCGGUAGAAGUCGAGUGAUUUUUCUAGCACUCGCGCGAGGUCAGGAAUUGGUUGUAUCCACUUUGAUAACAGAAUGGUGAUGGUCUGUGGACACGAGUCCAUGGGGACGCGUGGUCUACGAGAUGAAAAUUGGAAUAAGGAUUAACGUGCGGAUACCUGUGUCAAGCGUUUGAACAUACUAAACACAUGCCGAGAAAUAUGGUAAAUCGGUAAGCCUAGUACCUGAGUGAACCUGCCCGCAGACUUUACCCCUCACGCGACCUGAGACGUGGUCUCCCAUUCCGGUUAUGGUGGGUACAAGUGCGGUCACUGCACGACGGCAGUCGGGGUCAGUGAGGCAUUGUACGCCAAGGCGGUGAGCCCUGAUCUGUUGCCAGGGAAUCGAUGGGGACGGUUGAUGUGUGUGGGGACGGAGUGCCCCUACAUGUCGUGUGUUUAGGUUUACCUUGCAAGGAUAAAAACUCGAUUCGAAUCGUCUGCUUCUCGCAGCUAAUGAGACUGCUUGAUCCAUUGUACUGCAUUGAGUAAUAAGUGGAAAUGAGUUGACGGGCAAAAGAUGUUGAUUUGUAAAAAUGUUUGAUACCAUGUAUGACUAGUUUGGUACACAUCUAGUAAAAAGGAGCAUACUAAAACUUGAAAAAGCUAAAACAUGAUUUUAGACUCAGCUAGUGCUUUUGGCAAACCAAACCCCUCAGCCAAACAGCUGCAUGUCUAGAGGUAGAGGAGUAGACUCCUCACACCGGGUAAGUCUAGCUGAGUAUUAGUAUACUCAGCCUUGCUUGUGGCACAAUUUUUGCAGGUACUCCUUAGGAUGAUUGGUUGAUGGUGUGACUUGGCCUCCAUCCCUGCCACCGGGAUAGACGGUCGAGUGGGUUAUUGCUUCCGCGAGAGAGGACCAGGAGGAGUAGCGUGGCCAGGCUUCGCCAUGUUACUCGGUUCUUCUCCGUUAGUUAUUCCGCUGCAAUAAAAUUUAUGGUUAUUAUUUCUGAAACUCCGAUAAUGUAAUCACUAUUGAUACUUAUUAAAUUGUGGUAUUAUGCUUUAUUGUAUUUCUCUGUGCCUCACCUUCGAGUGAGCUAGUGGUAUUCGAUCCUGGUUAAGUGGCUUUAUCGGACUAGAUCCGAGGGACUGACGGGUUAUUCCUAUUUAAGUGUGGUCUAGCCUCUAAGGCGGGACUUAGGCACUUAAGUUGGAAUAAUUCGGGUGGUUCCGCCACAGCUGGUAUCGGAGCGAAUACCAUCACAGAGAAGUCAAUAAGUCAUGAUUACCAACCUUUUCUAGAGUAAAACUUGCUAGAAAUCAAAGUUGGAUAGAUCGUCAGGACGAUCAGGAUAGACCUAGGACGUGAAGCCUUAGGACAUAGAUGGGUAGCUAGGUGGCUAUUUAUAAAGGCCAUAAAGGCUACUACUACUACUAAUAAGGAUGUUGUAGAAGCAUCCGAUAAAGUAGUUAGGUCUGAGAAGACGACUAGAAUGAGCAUGCAUCAUGAUUGUCGCAUCAUUGUCUCUUGUGCAUUAACAUGCUUCUCUCACCUUCAUUCCAAUAAUAAGAAAUUGUGAAUAAUGUGCUGUAUUGCUAGGAACUGCAAAAGAAGUCUUAUCCUGUGUGUCAACAUAGUCUUGACUAGGUUGUGUUAUGUGCUUCUCUUGUCUGGCAAAAAAAAAUGUUUUAAUUGUUCAACCCUUUUUACAAAAAAAUGUUGUCUGCUCUUCUCAUGAAAAGACCCCACUCCAAACAACCUUGAGUUUAGCAAGUGAAACCUUCUUAAAAAAAUCCUACUUGUGUUGGUAUUUUCUAGCCCCCUUCAGUGUUUUACCUUUGAAGUUACACCUGCACAGCUUAUAGACCCCCACAGCUUGACCGCUAGACCAACCCAAGUCUCCUUGUGUACUUGUGUCAAAAAAAUAAAUUUUAUUAUUGGUGUCUAGUUGCGCAAACCCUAUCAAGGCCAUGUUUCUUUCCAUAAAUCCUUGCCCCUAAAACUUCAUAGCAUUUCUGUUGAUCAUCCUAGCUGAUCUUGCUUGAUGACGUCUCUUUUUACCCAGAUCUAGUAAUCUUUUCCUUUGUGACUCAUGUUGUGGCCUUGUCAUCCAAAUCUCUAGAUCAUCCAAUGAAUCUGCCCUAUUAUCUGGUUAUCUCCUAUAACCCGUUCUCAAGCAUCGGAUGUUGAUCUGCCUAAAUCUCUCAUUUCUGAUCAUUCUCAUACUCCUUCUCCGAGGAUCAUGACGAUAUUUUAUCUAAGCAGUGUAUCCCUUUGGUUCGAUGGAUUAUGUUGUUGUCUUUAGUUCUCUCACGUCUCAGCAAGUUGCCAAUCUUGAUCUCAUGGUUGGUUCCUUCUCAUAUCAAAUCUCAUAAUAAUCUCUGGCCUGAUAAUCUCCGUGUUGAUCAUAAAAUAGUUCUCUGAGUCGAAGAAAAUUCUUAGGUGAUGCUCUUUUGACAGCAGUCUCUGCUUCAACUCUACCACAUUCUUAUUUUCUGAGCCAUACUCUCAUGGGCUCCAUCUAUCUGUGCUAUGUAAAUUUCUUAUUGGUUGCGUUUGGUAAUGACGUCAUGACUAACGACUGAUGGUGCCGCGACGAAACCGAGAGCCUACUAUGGUGCACACAUGGUUGAGCUGCUCGGCACACGCUGGUAUUGCGGUUAAUAGUCGUGAUCCAUUACGAGACUAUACUGAUGUGCUACCUUUUGUGAACAUUCUCUCAGAAUGAUCGCUGCAUUUUGUCUCAACAUGUCGCGAUAUUCUAUCCAAAUCUAUCUUCCGUAUCUUGUCAGAUCCCAUCUCAUGAAUUUGCAUCUAUCUUCAGCCCGGGAGUUACAUGCUUCUCCGCCCUUAAAGAUACUCAUUCGAAUCUCGGGACGAGAUUCUGUUUAAGGGGGGAAGGCUGUGACACCCCAGGUGUCAAUUUCGCAUUAUGUCGGAAGAAUUAUCCUAAUCUCGGAUGCUCAGUGAAAAUUUCUAUUUCUCGAUCGUGUCUAUCUUUGUCUAUCAGGCUUUCUCAUGGAAGUUCAUCGAAUUCAGAGUUAAUCGAUCGCGAGAAACAACCAAGUUUGGAGCGUGUUAAAACUUUUAAUUCUUGGCAUGGAUGCAAAACUCGAUACUCAAUCUCGAUUUAUAAAUCUCGUCUAAAGCUCAUUUAAUCAAACGCUCGACAGCUGCUAGUCGAGCUGUGUCCGACUCCGAUUUCUCGAUGUUCGAUCUAUGUCCAAAAAUUAAUCCGACUCCGUACUCUCAAACGGAAUGCUCAAUAUGUCGUCCUCUGAUUAAUUCUCACUCGACUCAGCCAAAUAUCUCAUGUCCGAACCGAAUUCAAAAUCUCGUAUCGACAACGAUUUUAAAAUGCCACGAUUCACCUUUUCCGACUAAAAAUCCGAAAGCCGAUCAAAUCUCAGGACGGUUUAUUUUCGAUUUACGCGUAGGGAAUUAUCUUCAAGCGAAAUCUAAUUAGACUCUCGGCCGAAUUAAUUGCUCAAUCGUCCGUUCGCCGAAAUCAAUUUCGCUCUGUUCUGUGUACAGACAAAUUCCGCGGGAACAUUUAUUCCGGAAAAAUAAUUUAGCGCGACCCGAGUACGUGUUUUGGGCCAAGCCCAUUCCAGCCCGGCCCAUUUGGCCCACUAAGGAAAACCCUAACCCUAGUGUCCCUCUAUAAAUAGCAGUCCUCUCCUAGCAAGUGGAGGCAUUUUUGCGCUCCCACCCCUCAUUUUCUCCCAGCCGCCACAACAAUUCUUCCUCCCUGUUCACAACAGCAGCACGCUAGCGCAGGGAGCUCGGCUCUUUCUCACCAUGGCGCUCGGCACCCAUCCGGCAGGGCGCCCUUCUUCCCCAUGGAAACCGGCUCCCUCUCCAUGCUCCCUCCCUAGCCGAGCACCUCCAGCAGCCAUGGCCGAGCUUCCUUUCCCCCUGGUCGGCCUCCUCUGCACAGCAGCUCCUUCUCUCCGUUUCCUGUACGUGCGCAGGGGCAAAACUCCAUGGCACCGGCGAAGCUCCAGCUCCAAGCUCCCUGCACCCUCCUCCCCACGUGCAGCACCUCGCUCCCUGUCGGCAGCACGCACACUCAACUCUGGCUUCUCCCCCUGCUUCACCAUGCCGUGCGUCCUGCUCCAUACGUGAUGGUUGGAUGAAGAUGGCCAACAAGUGACUAUGUCAAGUGGGCCCUAGUAGCUAGGGUGAGUGUGCACAAAUUACAGCUUUUUGUGUUGUGUUCUAAAAUUCAUAUCUCGAGUUUUAGAGGUCCUAAAAUUGUGAAAUUUAUUUUGUUGGCUACCUUAUGAAAUGCUCUAACUAUUGGAUCUAUAGGUUGGCAUGUUUUAGUGGAAAAGUUGUUCUGUAGAAAUUCGUAUUUAAAAACUGGUUUAGAAAACAAAUGAACUUGCUUCUGUCCAUAGUUUUAAUUAUAAAAAUCCAAAAAUGAUGAAACUUGUUUUGUUGGUUAGAUGUUGUCAUACUCUAGCUAAGAAAAAUAUAAAACACAUAUGGUGUUCACUGUUUUCUUGGUGUGUUAAUUAAAACAUGUUAAAUAGGAAAAAGAUGAUUGUUUUGAUUGUUAUUUUUGGAUCUGUAGCUCUAGUGCUCCAAAUAGAUUGAAAUUUUUACAGUAGACUCUUGGUGUGAUGUUUGGUGACUGGUAAAAAUUUCAGGAAUUGUUGUGCAUGUAUGAUUAAGUUAGUGGUUUAACUUAUUUAAUGCACCUUAACUAGUUUUAAAUGAUUUACAAAUAAUGUAUAUAUGCAAAAAUGUAAAAUGGUGUUCCCAUGUCCUUGUGUGAUAUUAUAGUAGCCUAAGAAAACUUAAUAUGGUCAUGCAUCCACAGAAAAUAAUUAGUUUUAGAUUUAACUUGCUCUCACAUGCUUUAUUGCAUUAACAAUUUGUUAUUUUUGUAGUAAAUGCAAUAUAAAAUCUGAGCAUGUGAAAUUUAUACAUUAUUUAUAAUGGGUCAUUACCUAUGCCUCAUAAAAAUUACAGCCCCAAAUUAGAUAGUUUCAUUUGGUGCUAAAAUAACACCUAUUUUAUAAUUAUAAGAACAAUUAGUGAAAAAUUAGAAGUAAACAAGGGCAUGCAUGUUUCUUGAAAUACUUAAGUGAAUUGAUAUAAAUUGAAACUUGAUAACUAAGUCAUAAUGAUUUAAACUUGAGAAAUUGGUGGUAGUGUCUCUCCAUGAUUUUAAUUGAUGAUUGAGUUGAGUGCUAUUGUGCUAGCAAACUGAAAUUCCUGCACGUACAGUUUUUUGUUGUGCGGUUAAUCUAGUAAAGUAAAGUGUGUUUUAUGUACAUAUGUUCUAUAUAAAAGUUGUAAUUAACUUGUAUAUCUAGCUCUUCUAAAAAUUUAAUGAGCUAAGGAUUAAUGGUUUAGAAGUUAUACUUUUCACAAUUUCAGUACCUGAAUCUGUCCAAUUUCUGAACAGAUUUCAGAAAUUGUAAUGGUUGCUUAAGUUAAUGUUGAAAUAAGUUAUUGGUGGUCAUAAGAAAGUUAUAGAUAACUCUAUUAUCUAACUUGUGUUAAAAUUUGACAGCCAUAGGUCUGACAGUUUAGGAGUUAUGCUUUUUACAAAGUCAGUAACUGAAUCUGUCCACUUUCUGUACAGAUUUCAGAAACUGCAUUGUUUGCUUAAGUUAAUGUUACAAUCUGUUCAUGGUCAUUAUAAGAAAGUUGUAGAUGCUUUUCUGAUCUUGCUUGUGUUAAAAUUUCAUAACCACAGGCCCGAUAAUUUAAGAGUUAUGAAUUCUACAAACUGCUUGCUAUGUUCUGUCCACCGUCAGAACAGAUUUCGAAAACUGUGUUGUUUGAUUUAGUUAAACCUGGAAUCAAUUCUUGGUGAUUAUAAAAGUUAUGUAGUGCUUUUGCUGAGCUUUCCAAAAAGUCUUGGAUCACUCUUUUUGGUGGUCUGAAGAUUAAGUUACAUGUGUUUGAAGUGUGAAGACUGAAUCUGUCCAGUUUUGGACAGCACAGCCUUCAUAGUAUAUUUUAACCUUGAUACAUGCUAAACCAGCCAAGGAUGUUUAUAAAUAAUUUGUAGAACAUUUAAUUACCUUUCCAGAAAGUCUAGGAUCACCUUGUUUGGAUGUCUGGAUCUUCAGUUGUGAAUUUUUGAAGUUGCAAGCCUGAAUCUGUCCAAAUCUGGACAGAGCUGCUGUGUUUGCACAAUUCGACCUUGCUAAGUGUUGAAUCAUGUUGUGAUGAAAAUAUCAAAAUUGUAGAGCACUUUCUAAACUUUCCAGAAAGUCAUAGUUUACUAUUUUUGGCUUAAUAUUUGAAAAGUUAUGAUUAAAACAAGUAACUACGGUGCUGCUGUCCUAAAUGUGUUAGAAGUGAUUGAUUGCUCUACUCUAUUGUGUUUGACUUGAGUGAUUGCUUGCUUGUUUUGGUUUUAAGUGAAUAUGAGUAACAAUGAUAGUAACUAAUAUAAUCAGGUUAUAUAUAAGUAAAUAGUACACAUCUCACUAAGUUAGUGAACUAAAUUGGUUAAGGUCUAAUACGUAGCUUAGCUUAAUCAACAGUUAGCAAGUGCAGUAAUAUAUUAGGAAAACAAAAUGAAUAAUGUCCUGUCCUUGGCUUUCUGCUAAUACUACUAAGUAACCAACGUCAUUAAAGUAGUAUAACAUGUAAUGACGAUUAAACUAUCUCCUCAUGUGUGUUCUCUUUGGUGUGUGCUUGCAUGUGAAUAUUGUGAAUGAUUGUAAAACCCCGAUUAAAUGAAUAUCCCUUUCUGUCUAAGUCUGUCCAAAUAUAUAAGUCAUAGAAAACUUAUGUGUACUUAACUAGUAUAAUAAUAAAAAAACUAAUGGAAAAUUAGAGCGAAUGCGAUAAAUGCUUGCACGUGUGAUGUCGUGUUGCGUUGGUUAACUCUAGAAGGUAAUUGUCGUCUUUGUAAUGGUAUUGAUUACGUAUGCCCGAUGACGUGUAGAUAACUAAUGCUAGUGUGUGGUUGUUUACGGUGUCUUACGAUUUAAUGUUUAGUUCGCUAUCGUCUAUUUUGGGAUUGUCUUGUGAUAUAUUUCAUUAUAUUCAUACAUGUGCAUCCUGCAUCUCAUAUAGGACCGAGAGAUGAUGAUCGAGCAACUGAUGUGGUGCCAACCACAAGACACAGUUGGUGGACGACCUGAGGAAUGGACUUAACUAGUGGAUGCUCGCCAAGCGAGUGCCACCCAGCAAACACUAUCCAAGUGUUAAAUUAAAGGCAAGCCCCGGUUUUAUGCAUAACCGUUUAUAUAUGCUAUUUUACUACACUUAAUGAUUGUAGGCUUGUACUGUGCACUUAAGUGUAGGAGUUGUCUGAAAACCCUAGUUGCAUGAACUCAGGAUUCCUUUUGAGAUGGAUACUAGUAUGCUAGGUCGAGUAGCUGCUUUACUAAUUAGGGAUCUCGGUAGAAGUCGAGUGAUUUUUCUAGCACUCGCGCGAGGUCAGGAAUUGGUUGUAUCCACUUUGAUAACAGAAUGGUGAUGGUCUGUGGACACGAGUCCAUGGGGACGCGUGGUCUACGAGAUGAAAAUUGGAAUAAGGAUUAACGUGCGGAUACCUGUGUCAAGCGUUUGAACGUACUAAACAC
rnacentral:lncRNA from 1 species